UAACCUGUGCCUGACUCUCACUCA
rnacentral:misc_RNA from 1 species